UACGUAGGGUGCAAGCGUUGUCCGGAAUUACUGGGCGUAAAGAGCUCGUAGGCGGUUUGUCGCGUCGUCUGUGAAAACUCGAGGCUCAACCUCGAGCUUGCAGGCGAUACGGGCAGACUUGAGUACUGCAGGGGAGACUGGAAUUCCUGGUGUAGCGGUGAAAUGCGCAGAUAUCAGGAGGAACACCGGUGGCGAAGGCGGGGUCUCUGGGCCGAUACCGACGCUGGAGGAGCGAAAGCGUGGGGAGCGAACAGG
rnacentral:rRNA from 1 species